UCUCUCUCUCUCUCUCUCUCUCUCAUCUAAGAGUGAAACCCUAGCCGCCACUUAUCCUUUCCUCAGUCUCUCUCGCUCUCAUCAGUCGUGGGGGCCUUCUCCAGGAAGUAAAGCCUUCUCCAGUUGAAAUGUCGUCCCAAGAUAAUAAAAGAUUUUCCAAGAGAUCUCAUUUCAUUGAAGAGGGCCCAAGUGCUAUCCUUUUACAUGGGUCGACCUGAUCUGUCCUUGAAUCUUGUUCAACUGGUUCUACCCAAAAAUCAAGAAGAAAAUUUCAUAUAUGGCAUGCUUGCUUUUCCUUUGCUGGAGCUUAACCAAAUGGCAGAUGCUGAGAAAGCUGCAAAAAAGGAAUUUGAGAUCAAUGUGCAAGAUUACUGGGCACA